UCAAAAAUAAAGACUCUUCUUAAGAAUGUAUUAUUACGUACCCAAUACUGGUUUCAGGCUUUUACAUGUAUUCUCAUUUUAUUCUCAUAAAAACUCUAUGAAGUAGAUACUAUUAUCAAUAUUCUGCUCCACAGAUGAGGAAACCCAGACCCAGAGAGGUCAAGCAACUUGCUCAAGUGGCACAGCUGGAGAGAGGGGAGCUGGGACUUGAGCCCAGGUGGUGUGUCCCCAACACCUAAAGCUAAACUCCAUUCUGUGCUGCCCUUUGGAACACCCACUCCAUGGCCUUCACACUCCACGUCCUACUCAGGAGGACAUGUGAUCGCAACAGCACUCACAAAUGAAGGCUUUCCAGACAGGAUAUUGAAGAUGGAAGGUGUGAGCUGGGGGAGACAGCUGACUAAGAAGAAGACACUCCCCAGAAAGGUGGCCUGCCAGUCUUCACAAUGUAUGGGAGCAGGUGGCAAAAGAGCUGCAGGUGUUUGCAUUUCAUCACUGAAAUUGUUGAAACUGCUGAUCAGGAAACACAGAACGAGUUUAACCAGCCAAGUCAACUUCUGCAAGAUAGACUCCAGCUUGGGGGCUCUGUAUGGAAU